AAAAAAUAAUUAAUAAGUUCGCAGAAUUCUAAAAAGCACCGUUUAUUUUAUUGUUUUCCCAAAACAAACGUGUUACUGGUUAUACAUACACAUGAAUGGGUGUUUUAAGACACAUAAUUUUCAUUGAAAAUUUACCGACUUUAUAAGUAAACACAUCAUAUGUACAUAUAUGUAAGUAAUUACAUAAAAUUUUGCAAUCACUAACUAGAUUCUAUAAUGUGUUAACUAGACUCUAUAAUGUGUUAAUUACUUAAAAGUAUUGUUUUUCCAUAUCUCAGUUGUAUUUAUUGUUGUUGCGAGAGUUAUUAUACCUAUGUGUAUAAACAAUGUAGUGUAGCAGUGUGAAAGUGAAACCAACUCUGUUCGGAAUAGUUGCAUAUGAAAUGUGAAUAGAUCUCAAUAUUUCCAAUAACCUUAAUUAAUCUGAGUUUUGCACAAUGACUGAUUUUCUCUAUUUUCACAGAGUGAUCAUAGGCAAAAAUAUAACGUAGAUCUUACAUGUACGGGUUUAUUUCAAUUAAAAUAUUGGGUAGUCGGAAAAGUCGUCUCGUAUUUUGUCAAUAGUAGUAUAUCUCCAGUUAAGCUUCAUUUAACCAAAAAAAAUUAAAUUCGGAGAAGUUGAAAAAAAGUUACAGCUGUUCAAAAAUUAGUGAAAAUAUUGAAGAAAUUUGCUAUAUUUUGAAAUUUUUGUAUAAAAAAGAGAAGAAUGUGCCGCAAACCAGCAAUGUGUAUGAGUUCGUGUAGCACAUUAUGGUUCGCUCACUUCCGUUCUGGAAAUUUCGAAAUUUUGAUUUACAUUUUCUCUAGCGGGAAAAUAGCAAAACGUCGUCGACCAAAAUGCAAAUUCACAUGACCACUCCGAGGACACCGUUUUGACUCAAUUGAAGAUAUAAAAGCUGAAUCGAAAAAGGCUCUGACUCUGUCCAAGUGCUAUGAUGACUGGAAAAUUUGUUGAGAUAAGUGUAUAGCAGCGGGAGGAAAUUACUUUGAAGGAGAUGAAAUGGACAAAAUGGCACCGUCCAAAUUUAGGUGAAAAUCUAUAUCUCGGGACCUAAUCGACCGAUUUGAACUAAUAUCGUUUCAAUAAUGGAAUGAGAUCGGAUUACAAUCACGCUUACUUUCCAUUUGUCCAUAUGUAAUAUAUCUUAGCAAAAUUGAAUGGACACAUAAUUUUGGAUAUUCUUUCUAAUGCCGAAAGUAUGUGAAAUUGAGGAAUUACCCAAACUCCCAUAUA